GAUGAACGCUGACGGCGUGCCUAAUACAUGCAAGUCGAGCGAACGGACGAGAAGCUUGCUUCUCUGAUGUUAGCGGCGGACGGGUGAGUAACACGUGGAUAACCUACCUAUAAGACUGGGAUAACUUCGGGAAACCGGAGCUAAUACCGGAUAAUAUUUUGAACCGCAUGGUUCAAAAGUGAAAGACGGUCUUGCUGUCACUUAUAGAUGGAUCCGCGCUGCAUUAGCUAGUUGGUAAGGUAACGGCUUACCAAGGCAACGAUGCAUAGCCGACCUGAGAGGGUGAUCGGCCACACUGGAACUGAGACACGGUCCAGACUCCUACGGGAGGCAGCAGUAGGGAAUCUUCCGCGAUGGGCGAAAGCCUGACGGAGCAACGCCGCGUGAGUGAUGAAGGUCUUCGGAUCGUAAAACUCUGUUAUUAGGGAAGAACAUAUGUGUAAGUAACUGUGCACAUCUUGACGGUACCUAAUCAGAAAGCCACGGCUAACUACGUG
rnacentral:rRNA from 1 species